rnacentral:rRNA from 1 species
CCUACGGGAGGCAGCAGUGGGGGAUAUUGCACAAUGGGGGAAACCCUGAUGCAGCGAUGCCGCGUGAAUGAUGAAGGCUUUCGAGUCGUAAAGUUCUGUUCUUAGGGAAGAUAGUGACGGUACCUAAGAAGAAAGCCCCGGCUAAAUACGUGCCAGCAGCCGCGGUAAUACGUAUGGGGCGAGCGUUAUCCGGAAUUAUUGGGCGUAAGGAGUUCGUAGGCGGUCUUAUAAGUCAGAAGUGAAAGGCAGUGGCUCAACCAUUGUAAGCUUUUGAAACUGGGAGACUUGAGUGUUGGAGAGGAAAGCGGAAUUCCUAGUGUAGCGGUGAAAUGCGUAGAUAUUAGGAGGAACACCAGUGGCGAAGGCGGCUUUCUGGACAAAAACUGACGUUGAGGAACGAAAGCGUGGGGAGCGAACAGGAUUAGAUACCCUGGUAGUCCACGCCGUAAACGAUGAGUGCUAGGUGUUGGGGUAGCGAUAGUUCAGUGCCGCACAUAACGCAUUAAGCAAUCCGCCUGGGGAGUACGGUCGCAAGACUGAAACUCAAAUGAAUUGACGGA